rnacentral:lncRNA from 1 species
CUGAAAGGAAUAGUGGAAAUAAUGGCAAUAUGGCAAGUAUCUGGUCAGAGGGAUCUGUUAAGGAUACUGUUUGAGGCCAGAACACACUGUUUCUUUUUCAUUCCUCAUCCGCAAUCAGUGUCUUUUCAAGUUACAUAUUUUUACAGACCAGUGUUCCAGGAAAGCAUUUGGUCUCAGCAAACAAAUCAGUGGAAAUAUUAAAAAGGAAACUGUAUACGACUCAGGGUGAAUUUCCAAGUUCUUAAGUGAAGAAACGUCACCACGUGCCCACGCUUCAAUUUCCUCUGUUACUGAUGAUGCUGUCUGAUUAUACUUGUCUUCAACAAUUUCCCUCUGCCUGCCUGACGUCCAGGGGCAUUGGCAGAGCCCAGUCCUUGGCUUCCUUUUCUUCCCUCCUGAUGCGCUCUCUGUGAAGUCUCAUUGUUGCCCACAGAAUUCAGCACCCUUUCUCUGCAGGUGACACCCGAGACUUCACCUCUGGUCCAGAUUCACGUCCACCGCUUCCAUCCCCAUAACUGUGAUGGGAAAAGUCAUCAUGGACCAGCCAUAUUGUGAGCAUGCUCUGCUGUGGGGCGCAUGGUGGAAGCCUUCUGUGGAAGAGAAAAUGGAGGAAAACCAAGGCAUAAAGGCUAUAGCUUCACAGAAAGACAUUUCACUGUUUCUCCUAGGGAAUCCCAGCACCAAAAAGCAGGUGGCAACCAACUGAGAUCAGAGCCCCCAACAUCUGGGAGCUGAUGUUGUGAAGACCAUCUGGGAAGGAAGGACUGCUAAUCAGUGAACCUAGCUCUCUUCUGAGAACUAUCUCAAUGUUUAGACCCUAUUCGUUCUACUUCAUGGACCCUUCCUAGCAUUCUGGGUCAGGGCAGAUUUGUCUCAACACAAAGGCCCUAUAAAGAUAUAUGGUUCUUUUUCACCCAUUUCAAGUCAGCCCUUUUUAACUUAUUCAGUUGACACAGAAUUGGAGUUUUUCAAAAGAAAAAAGUUGACAAUAAGGAGGAAAACAAACAAACAAAAAAAACCCUAACAAAAUAAAAACACAGAAUGGCUGGUUUACA